AAAGAUUAAGCCAUGCAUGUCUAAGUAUAAGCAAUUAUACGGCGAAACUGCGAAUGGCUCAUUAUAUAAGUUAUCGUUUAUUUGAUAACACGUUACUACUUGGAUAACCGUGGUAAUUCUAGAGCUAAUACAUGCUGAAAAUCCCGACUUCGGAAGGGACGUAUUUAUUAGAUUAAAAACCAAUGCCCUCCCCAGGGCUCCUUGGUGAUUCAUGAUAACUGCUCGAAUCGCAUGGCCUUGCGCCGGCGAUGGUUCAUUCAAAUUUCUUCCCUAUCAACUUUCGAUGCGAAGGUCUUGUCCUCGCAUGGUUACAACGGGUAACGGAGGGUUAGGGCUCGACCCCGGAGAAGGAGCCUGAGAAACGGUGAGUCCCCUAUUUUUCGCACGCUAUGUGCCCCGAAACAGCACGCUAACGAUCUCGCAGGCUACUACAUCCAAGGAAGGCAGCAGGCGCGCAAAUUACCCAAUCCCGACUCGGGGAGGUAGUGACAAUAAAUACUGAUACAGGGCUCUUUUGGGUCUUGUAAUUGGAAUGAGUACAAUUUAAAUCCCUUAACGAGGAACAAUUGGAGGGCAAGUCUGGUAAGUUUCGGCGCUUCCCGGGCCCCGUAGGACAGUGCUAACCCCCCGUAGGUGCCAGCAGCCGCGGUAAUUCCAGCUCCAAUAGCGUAUAUUAAAGUUGUUGUGGUUAAAAAGCUCGUAGUUGAACCUUGGGCCUGGCCGGCCGGUCCCCCUCGCCGGGUGCACUGAACCAGCCGGGCCUUUCCCGCUACGGAACCCCAUGGCCUUCGCUGGUCGUGGCGGGGAAGUAGGACUUUUACUUUGAAAAAAUUAGAGUGCUCCAGGCAGGCCUAUGCUCGAAUACAUUAGCAUGGAAUAAUGGAAUAGGACGCGUGGUUCUAUUUUGUUGGUUUCUAGGACCGCCGUAAUGAUUAAUAGGGACAGUCGGGGGCAUCAGUAUUCAAUUGUCAGAGGUGAAAUUCUUGGAUCUAUUGAAGACUAACUACUGCGAAAGCAUUUGCCAAGGAUGUUUUCAUUGAUAAGGAACGAAAGUUAGGGGAUCGAAGACGAUCAGAUACCGUCGUAGUCUUAACUAUAAACUAUGCCGACUAGGGAUCGGGCGAUGUUAUUACUUGACUCGCUCGGCACCUUUCGAGAAAUCAAAGUGCUUGGGCUCCAGGGGGAGUAUGGUCGCAAGGCUGAAA
rnacentral:rRNA from 1 species